AGAGUUUGAUCAUGGCUCAGGACGAACGCUGGCGGCGUGCUUAAUACAUGCAAGUCGAGCGAGGUUACUGUUUCGGAUCCCUUCGGGGUGAAGAAGCUUUAACCUAGCGGCGGACGGGUGAGUAACGCGUGGGUAACCUACCCCAAAGUCCGGGAUAACAGCGGGAAACCGCUGCUAAUACCGGAUGUCUUUACCUUGGGGCAUCUUGAGGUAAAGAAAGGCAACGCUUUGGGAUGGGCCCGCGUCCCAUUAGCUAGUUGGUGAGGUAACGGCUCACCAAGGCGACGAUGGGUAGCCGGCCUGAGAGGGUGGACGGCCACACUGGGACUGAGACACGGCCCAGACUCCUACGGGAGGCAGCAGUAGGGAAUAUUGCGCAAUGGACGGAAGUCUGACGCAGCGACGCCGCGUGAGCGAUGAAGGUCUUCGGAUCGUAAAGCUCUGUCCUUGGGGAAGAAGGCGAAAGCUUGACGGUACCCAAGAAGAAAGCCCCGGCUAACUACGUGCCAGCAGCCGCGGUAAU
rnacentral:rRNA from 1 species